rnacentral:rRNA from 1 species
UCCACGCCCUAAACGAUGAACACUAGUCGUCGGGAUGCUAGUCAUCUCGGUGAUGCACUUAACAGAUUAAGUGUUCCGCCUGGGGAGUACGGUCGCAAGAUUAAAACUCAAAGGAAUAGACGGGGACCCGCACAAGAGGUGGAGCUAAUCACUUAAAGCGUCUCCUCAGUUCGGAUUGAAGUCUGCAACUCGACUUCAUGAAGCUGGAAUC